rnacentral:rRNA from 1 species
UAUGUGAUCGUCUCUCGCAUAUCAAUAAGCGGAGGAAAAGAAACUAACAAGGAUUCCCCUAGUAACGGCGAGUGAAGCGGGAGGAGCUCAAAUUUGAAAUCUUAAAGGGUCUCCCUUUACGAAUUGUAGUUUAAAGAAGUGCUUUCUGUUGAGGUUUUGGUAAAAGGUUCUUUGGAAUAGGACAUCAUAGAGGGUGAGAAUCCCGUAUUUGACCUUUACUUUCAACUUUGUGAUACACUUUCAAAGAGUCAGAUUGUUUGGGAAUGCAGUCCAAAAUGGGUGGUAAAUUUCAUCUAAAGCUAAAUAUUGGCGAGAGACCGAUAGCGAACAAGUACCGUGAGGGAAAGAUGAAAAGAACUUUGAAAAGAGAGUUAAACAGUACGUGAAAUUGUCAAAAGGGAAGCGUUUGACACCAGUGUUGUUUUUCUGAAAAUCAAUUAAAGAACUGUUUAUGCUAAGUUGUUUAGACUUUAUCAGCUAACUGUUUAGUUUUGAGCUUUUCUUUAAUGCACUUUUCAGUUAACAAGUCAACAUCAAUUUCUUUUGCUGUAAAAAAGCUUGAGGAAGGUGGCUUGAGAUUCGUCUUAAGUGUUUAUAGCCUCUUGCCUAUGCAGUCGGAGAGAUAGAGGUCUGCAGCGUAGAUCCUUCGGGGCUAAAUGCAUUUGUGCUAAGUUAUAACAUUUUAUAGACAACUUGUUGACUAUGAUUUGUCUUGUAGCUUACUCGCUUAUGUUAUUUUACCUACGCUUAGGAUGUUGAACGCGCACAGAGUCUC